rnacentral:rRNA from 1 species
AACGAACGCUGGCGGCAGGCUUAACACAUGCAAGUCGAGCGAGACCUUCGGGUCUAGCGGCGGACGGGUGAGUAACGCGUGGGAGCGUGCCCUUCUCUACGGAAUAGCCCCGGGAAACUGGGAGUAAUACCGUAUACGCCCUUUGGGGGAAAGAUUUAUCGGAGAAGGAUCGGCCCGCGUUGGAUUAGGUAGUUGGUGGGGUAAUGGCCCACCAAGCCGACGAUCCAUAGCUGGUUUGAGAGGAUGAUCAGCCACACUGGGACUGAGACACGGCCCAGACUCCUACGGGAGGCAGCAGUGGGGAAUCUUAGACAAUGGGGGCAACCCUGAUCUAGCCAUGCCGCGUGAGUGAUGAAGGCCUUAGGGUUGUAAAGCUCUUUCAGCUGGGAAGA